UUAUUAUUGGCAGCAGUCAGCCUACAAGCCUUUUUAAGAUUUUUCCCUUGUGUUGUCAAAAAAUCUAUUUCAUACAAGUGGCAGCAGAGGGCGCUCAUCUUACAGGUUAAUUUCUAUCUGAACUUUCUGUGACGGAAAACACUUGUUAAAAUGCCUGUGUAUGUCAACAAGUUUAUGGUUUCUUAAAAUGUGUGUGUGUGUGUGUGUGUGUAAAACAAAAGAGAGAAGAUUACAGACAGAUAAACGGAUGGAUAUUACACUGAUAAAAUAGAAAUUACUUUUGUGGCUCCUCCCCUGUCCAGUAAUUCCAAAACCAUGUGUGAUUGUUUUAGUCAUCCUUUUUGUCACUUUGAACAAAAUAUCUGAUAAGAAUAAUUAGAGGAGGAAAGGUUUAUUUUUGGCUCAGAGUUUCAGAGGUCUCAGUCCAUAGACAGCUGACUAUUGCUUGGGCCCCAGGUGAGGCAGAAAGGAUGCAGGAAAACAGCACAGAACAUGACACUAAGAAACAGAGAGAGGAUUCCACUCACCAGGGACAAAAUAUAAGCCCUAAAGCCAUGUCCCAGUGACCUACCUCCUCCAGCCACACCCUACCUGCCUACACAUACCAUCCAAUUAUUCCACAUCAAUGGAUUAAUCAUUGAUUAAGUUACAACUCUAAAGAUUUAUUCAUUUCACCUGUGCACAUUCUGGCAUUGUCUCACACAUGAGCUUCUGAGGGCCACCUUCCCUUGAGAGCCGGGGGCUGUGGCGCAUGCCUGUAAUCUCAGCGGCUCAGGAGGCUGAGACAGGAGAAUCGUGGGAGUUUGAAGCCAACCUCAGCAAAAGUGAGGCGCUAAGACCCUGUCUCUAAAUAAAAUUCAAAAUAUGGCUGGAGAUGUGGCUCAGUGGUCGAGUGCCCCUAAAUUCGAUCUCUAAUACCAAACAACAACAACAACAACAAAAACCAAACAAAAAAAAUCCCAAUUAUGUUCCCCUUGAAUAAUUAACACUUUUUUCUCCUUAAGCAUGUUGCUUUUCUGUUUCACCAUGGAAACCUUCCAUCAUGUGCUCAGGAAGCUGGGGCUCUGGAGUACUGCCCUCCCAUUCUCCAGUACAUACGCUUUCUCCCAGGGUCUUCUCUGGAGGACCAUAGCCAUUUCUGAAGCUUGUCCAGGAAAGAAGAAAGUAGAUCUAGUUCCUUCUGCUGUGACUUUGGUUAUGCUAUCUGCGCAAACUGCUCUAACACACCUUCCCAAUGUCUUUUCCCUUCGUCUCCCCUCUUCUCCCGCAUAUCUCUUCCUCCAAACCUUUCUUCAGUAUUCCAUCUGUCAUCGUUCUCUACCUCAAGGUCAUAUGCAUCACCAUGUAAGCUACACACCUGUGGUAGCCAGCCUCCUAGAUGGCCCCAUGGUUUAGUCAGCUUUUUUGCCACUGUGACUAAAAGACCCGACAAGAGAAAUCUUAGAGGAAGAAAAAUUUAUUUUUGGCUCAUAGUUUUAGAGGUCUCCAUCCACAGACAGCCUGGUCCAUUCCUUGGGGCUCAAAGUGAGGCAGAAAAUCAUAGUGGAAGAGUGGAUGGAGCAAAGUGGCUCAGGAUAUGGCCAGGAAAGAGAGAGAGAGAGAGAGAGAGAGAGAGAGAGAGAGAGAGAGAGAGAGAGGCUCCACUUGUCAGAUAAAAAAAUAUAUACCCCAAAGUCAUACCCCCAAUGACUCACCUCCUCCAGCUACACCCUACUCACCUUCUGUUACCACUCAGUUAUUCCCAUCAGCGGAUUAAUUCAUGGAAUGGGUUAAGGCUCUCAUAACCCAAUUGUUUCUCCUCUAAACCUUCUUGUGUUACCUUACACAUGAGCUUUGGGGAGCCACCUCAUACCCAAACCAUAACACCCCGUGAUCCCUACCUCCUUGUAUAUACACCUUAAAUACUGCCUUUACGUGUAGCAGAGCUGACCUGUAUUACCAUUAGGAUAUUAUGGGAAUGAAGUUCUGUGAAUUCCAAAGUUAAGGUCACAAAAUACGUGUGCUUUCCACCUUGCUCUGUCUUGGAUCCCUGAGCCUGCUGCCAUGUUGUGAGGAUACACAAGUGGGUUUGUGGAGGGUUCAUAUGUCAAGGACCUAAGUCAUACCAACAACUAGCAGUACCUUCCCAUGCGAGUACAAACCUUGUGAACAAGCCACCCUUAAAGUAAAUUCCCCAGCACCAAUAAAGUCUGCAGAUGCCUGCAACCCUGUCAACAUUUUGUCUACAGCCUCCCAAGAAACCCUGAGCCAAAAGCACCCAGCAAAGUAGCUUCUGAAUUCCUAACCCACAGAAACUGUGAGAUAUUAAAUGUUUGUUGUUUUAAGAUAGUAAGUAGGUUUGGGGUAAUUUGCUGUGUAGCAAUAAAAACUAAGACUCUUUCCAUCAUGCCUGACAACACAGUUAGCACUGCAUGUCUUUGUGGUUUCACAUCCUUGUGGUUAAAGCCCUCCAAUGGCUCAUCACUAAUUUGGGGAUAAAACCCAAACCCUUUCACACAGCUUAGGUCUUUCCAGAUCUGGCUCCUGUGUGCCUCCCAGCCUCACCCGGCCCACUCUGCCUUUCCUCCCCCAUCUCUCUGACUACUCUGAAACACACUGCAUCUCCCUGCAUGUGGAUGGAUAAAAUUGCCAGAUAAAAUAUAGCUUGCCCAGUGAAUUCUGAAUUUCAGAUAAACAACCAAUAAUUGGUAUGGUUACACAAUAUAGGGGGCACUCCUAUGCUAAAAAUAGUGUGCAGCACAUUCUCAUUCUAUAACGUUAUCCUGUGCCGGUGAAGAGCAAGGUGGAAGAAUUUCCAGUGUUGCUGAAAACGGGACGAGACUUCCACUGAGAAUCGGACGAGACUUCGGAUCAAGCUAGUUGCCUGCAGAACUUACCUGGACUGUGAUUUAAGCUAGCUGCCUGCAGAACUUACCUGGACUGUGAUUUACCUGGACUGUGAGUUAAUCUAUUGAGAGACUGCUUUACCUGGACUGAGACAACAAACUGUAAUAUAUAACAAAUUGUAACUCGGUAUCUUUGCUAACAUUGUCAUUGCUGGUAUAAUUUUUCCAACGGCUUCUUGCAUGGAGCCAUCAAUUGGCUUGGUAUUGUGGCAUUUUGUAUCCUCCCUUUCUGUUUGUAGCAGGUUAUUUAUGGUGUUUCUGUAAAAACCACUAUGGUCCUUAUUUAAAUUAAACAAAAGGGGGAAAUGUUAGAGUCUGUAAACAAGUCAAAAUAACACCUGGCAUUUUGCCAGGGGAAUGUUAGAGUUCGUAAACAAGUCUGGAUGGUGCCUGGCAAAAUGCCAGAGGGAGUGGUUUGAGAAGUAACAAAAGCGAGCCAUUAAGUAUGGAGAUUCCUUAUUGGUUGACUGAUGUAUCUAGUUUAUGCUAAUUAGAUAAGCUGUGUGGAAUGUAUAAAUACUGCUCCUGUCCUGCAAUAAAUGGCUCCUACCCCUGCUGUAUCAAUCUACACAAGUUGCUCGUCACCCCCCAGUUAUUUUGCUGCAGCCGGACUGCGGCACAU
rnacentral:lncRNA from 1 species